rnacentral:rRNA from 1 species
AUUGAACGCUGGCGGCAGGCCUAACACAUGCAAGUCGAGCGGAGCUUCAGACGGUUAAGUAAUGCCUAGGAAUCUUCCUGGUAGUGGGGUAUAACGUCCCGAAACGGGCGCUAAUACCGCAUACUAUCAGAUUAGCCUAGGGGGGAUUAGCUAGUUGGUGAGGUAAAGGCCUACCAAGGCGACGAUCCGGAACUGGUCUGAGAGGAUGAUCAGUCAGACGGGGACUGAGACACGGUCCAGACUCCUACGGGAGGCAGCAGUGGGGAAUAUUGGACAAUGGGCGAAAGCCUGAUGCAGCCAUGCCGCGUGUGUGAAGAAGGUCUUCGGAUUGUAAAGCACUUGAAGUUGGGAGGCGUUACCGACAGAAUAAGCACCGGCUAACUUCGUGCCAGCAGCCGCGGUAAUUC